rnacentral:rRNA from 1 species
AAGGUAGCAUAAUCAUUAGUUUUUUAAUUGAAAGCUGGUAUGAAUGGCUGAAUAAGAAAGUUACUGUCUCUUUUUAAUUAAAUUGAAAUUUAUUUUUAAGUUAAAAAGCUUAAAUUUUAUAGAAAGACGAGAAGACCCUAUAGAGUUUAAUAGAUUACAAUUUUUAUAGUUUAGUUUUUAAAAUUGUUUAAAUUUAUAUUUAUUUUGUUGGGGUGACAUUAAAAUUUAAAAAACUUUUUGUACUAAAAUCAUUGAUUUAUGAGUUUAUGAUCCUAAAAUUUAGAUUAAAAGAAUAAAUUACCUUAGGGAUAACAGCGUAAUUUUUUUGGAGAGUUCUUAUCAAUAAAAAAGAUUGCGACCUCGAUGUUGGAUUAAAGUUAAUUACUGGUGCAGAAGCUAGAAAAUUAAGUCUGUUCGAC